rnacentral:antisense_RNA from 9 species
AAUAACUGAAAAUAACACUUGGGCUAAGGGUUAAGUUAGUAAUUUUUCUUACAUCCCCCCCCCCCUCCUUCCUCUGGAGACCAGGUAUCAUAUACGCCCCUAAAAUAAAGAGCCUUGAAUACUAGAAGAAAAGCACCUAUACCUACCAAGAUUAAGUGAAUACCUAAAAUUGUUGUCAUUUUAUUUCUAUAUUUCCA